UCUUCUGUUUGCCCCUCAGCACAGACCUGUCCACUCCACAGCAAACAACACCAGUCCUCUGCUCUGUCAAAUUACACAAAACCCUUUGUGGCAGAAAAGCAAUUGUGUAGUGGAGACACAACAGUGGUAACAAAUUCAUGAUGUGUGUUUCUCAAAACAAACAGUGUAAUGUUCCCUUUCUCAGCUGGGCCUUCAAUACUGUUUGACAGGAUGGGUUUGAUUGAGAGGGUCAAAUUAAUUUGACAAAAACAGAAUUUGUUUCAGGAAAUUUUGAUUUGUUUAAAGUAAAUGUGUUUUUAGUCCUUCCAUGAAUUCUUCCACUAGAAUAAUGGGGAUUUUUGACCUGGGGGUGUAAUUUAGGCUCUUUUUCUUUCAUGAAAGUUUUGUACAAACAAACUAGUUAUUUCUUUUCCAAGGUUUACUGAAAAUUAAAUAAUACAAGUAAAGGGCAAACAGUGAAAAUACUGAACAAUCUCUUACCAGAGAUCAUUACAAACCUGAAGACCUCAAGCCUUUUAUAAACAUUAAAGGAGGGAGUCGCACUGGAACAUUUUGUGGACAUGAUAACUACGCAGUAAUAACAUCUGAUUCAUUAUAAAUACGUGUUUUUUCAGUUGAACACAGGUGUAGAAGUUGUUGCUUCCAGCCUCAGAGCCUCUUCAGACUCCUGUUCUGUCUCAAGGUGUCCUGUUUCUCUGCAGCCUGAUGGCCUCCCAACACACAGACACCACUCCACAGCCAGAACCAGUUUCCUGUUUCCUUUCCAGUGUGGAGUCGAGACCUGCUUGUUCCUUGUGUUCCCUGUGAGCAGUGUUGUCUUGAGGUGAAUAAAGAGCAUGAGUGGGCAGUGUAGUGUCAGUGUGGGAGCCCAUCCUGUCUCAGGGUAUUGCAGUGUGAAGGUGGGACCUUGAUACUGGAAUCAGAGCUACUUGCAGCCUCUCCAGUCCACUGCAUUACAGUGUAG
rnacentral:lncRNA from 1 species